UGCGAUGGGUAGGCAAAUCCGCCCGUCAUAUACCGAGGCCAACGAUCGAGCCAGCUUGCUGGUGAAGUGACUGAACGAGGUUCCAGGAAAAGCCACUAAGCUUCAGCUAUACACGACCGUACCGCAAACCGACACUGGUGCGCGAGAUGAGUAUUCUAAGGCGCUUGAGAGAACUCAGGAGAAGGAACUCGGCAAAUUGACACCGUAACUUCGGAAGAAGGUGUGCCCUAUUAGUGUGAAGUGAACAACGGAGCAUGAAUGGGUUGCAAAAAAUCGGUGGCUGCGACUGUUUAUUAAAAACACAGCACUCUGCAAACACGAAAGUGGACGUAUAGGGUGUGACGCCUGCCCGGUGCUGGAAGAUUAAAUGAUGGGGUGCAAGCUCUUGAUUGAAGUCCCAGUAAACGGCGGCCGUAACGAUAACGGUCCUAAGGUAGCGAAAUUCCUUGUCGGGUAAGUUCCGACCUGCACGAAUGGCGUAACGAUGGCCACACUGUCUCCUCCUGAGACUCAGCGAAGUUGAAAUGUUUGUGAUGAUGCAAUCUCCCCGCGGAAAGACGGAAAGACCCCAUGAACCUUUACUGUAGCUUUGUAUUGGACUUUGAACAGAUCUGUGUAGGAUAGGUGGGAGGCUUUGAAGCAGGGUCGCUAGAUCUUGUGGAGCCAACGUUGAAAUACCACCCUGGUGUGUUUGAGGUUCUAACCUAGGUCCAUUAUCUGGAUCGGGGACAGUGCAUGGUAGGCAGUUUGACUGGGGCGGUCUCCUCCCAAAGCGUAACGGAGGAGUUCGAAGGUACGCUAGUUACGGUCGGACAUCGUGACGAUAGUGCAAUGGCAUAAGCGUGCUUAACUGCGAGACUGACAAGUCGAGCAGAUGCGAAAGCAGGACAUAGUGAUCCGGUGGUUCUGUAUGGAAGGGCCAUCGCUCAACGGAUAAAAGGUACUCUGGGGAUAACAGGCUGAUACCGCCCAAGAGUUCAUAUCGACGGCGGUGUUUGGCACCUCGAUGUCGGCUCAUCUCAUCCUGGGGCUGUAGCCGGUCCCAAGGGUAUGGCUGUUCGCCAUUUAAAGAGGUACGUGAGCUGGGUUUAAAACGUCGUGAGACAGUUUGGUCCCUAUCUUCCGUGGGCGCUGCAGAUUUGAGGAAGCCUGCUCCUAGUACGAGAGGACCGGAGUGGACACACCUCUGGUGUAUCGGUUGUCACGCCAGUGGCAUUGCCGAGUAGCUAAGUGUGGAAGAGAUAACCGCUGAAAGCAUCUAAGCGGGAAACUCGUUUCAAGAUGAGAUCUGCCGGGGCCUUGAGCCCCCUAAAGAGUCGUUCAAGACCAGGACGUUGAUAGGUCAGGUGUGGAAGCGCAGUAAUGCGUUAAGCUAACUGAUACUAAUUGCUCGUGCGGCUUGACC
rnacentral:rRNA from 1 species